GACGAACGCUGGCGGCGUGCUUAACACAUGCAAGUCGAACGGAAAGUCCCUGCUUUUGUGGGGUGCUCUAGUUGCGAACGGGUGAGUAACACGUGAGUAACCUGCCCUUGACUUUGGGAUAUCUUCAUGAAACUUGGGCUAAUACCGCAUAGGAUCUCCUGCUUCAUGGUGGGGGUUGGAAAGUUUCGGCGGUUGGGGAUGGACUCGCGGAUUAUCAGCUUGUUGGUGGGGUAGUGGCUUACCAAGGCUUUGACGGGUAGCCGGCCUGAGAGGGUGACCGGCCACAUUGGGACUGAGAGACGGCCCAGACUGCUACGGGCGGGAGGAGUGGGGAAGAUUGCACAAUGGGCGGAAGAAUGAUGCAGCAACGAAGGGUGCGGGAGGAAGGAAUUCGGGUUGUAAACAGAUUUCGCCUGUGACGAAGCGUGAGUGACGGUAAUGGGGAAAGAAGCACCGGCUAACUACGU
rnacentral:rRNA from 1 species